GCUUAUGGCCAUAUCACGUUGAAAGCACCGGUUCUCGUCCGAUCACCGAGGUUAAGCAACAUCGAGCCUAGUUAGUACUUAGAUGGUGACCGCUUGGGAAACUUAGGUGCUGUAAGCA
rnacentral:rRNA from 1 species